rnacentral:rRNA from 1 species
GACAUAGGUCGCGAACGUUAUCCGGAAUUAUUGGGCGUAAAGGAUGCGUAGGUGGUUCGGUAAGUUACUGGUGGGAAAUCGAGGCUCAACCUCGUGGAAGUCAGUAAUACUAUCGAGCUUGAGUGCAGGAGAGGUUAAUGGAAUUUUAUGUGGAGCGGUAAAAUGCGUAGAUAUAUAAAAAGAACAUCAAUUGGCGAAGGCAGUUAACUAUUCUGCUACUGACAUUUGAGGCAUGAAAGCGUGGGGAGCAAAACGG